rnacentral:rRNA from 1 species
GACGAACGCUGGCGGCGUGCUUAACACAUGCAAGUCGAGCGGUAAGGCCCUUUCGGGGGUACACGAGCGGCGAACGGGUGAGCAACACGUGGGUGACCUGCCCUCAGCUCUGGGAUAAGCCUGGGAAACCGGGUCUAAUACUGGAUAUGACUCCAUGACGCAUGUUGUGGGGUGGAAAGCCUUGUGCGGCUGAGGAUGGGCCCGCGGCCUAUCAGCUUGUUGGUGGGGNGAUGGCCUACCAAGGCGACGACGGGUAGCCGGCCUGAGAGGGCGACCGGCCACACUGGGACUGAGACACGGCCCAGACUCCUACGGGAGGCAGCAGUGGGGAAUCUUGCGCAAUGGGCGAAAGCCUGACGCAGCGACGCCGCGUGA